rnacentral:miRNA from 1 species
CUCUCUUCCCUACUCCUUGUUC